rnacentral:lncRNA from 1 species
CCUGAUAAAAACAGACUAAAUAUCCAUAAGGCUCAAGAGAAAAGACCAAUAGGAAUUAAACUUCAAAAUAAAACAGGAAGUAUACUUUGACACAGAAAAGGAGAAAAAGUCCUCAAUGACACAAAUGAGGAAAAGAAAAAAAAAAAAACUAAAACUUUACAGUUUUACAGAUGAAUUACAAUAACCAGAUAUUUGAAUAUUCAUGUCUCACUGCUUUGUGGCAUACAUUACUGUUGUAUGGCUGGCUAAUGAAGAAGAAUGUGUUAUUUUAACCCUGUUUAAGCAACCAAACAGCAAAAAGCUUUGUUUGAGUCUGUGGAAGUCAGCCACGUGUGAUAGAAACCUGCUUGCAUCCUGCAUUCAGGGUCACUGAUCUGUUCUGAGACCUCUUUGUCUUUAUGUACAGAAAGAUGACACAGAGCGCUGCUAUAAACUCAGAGUAUCUGUUCACCUUGGCUUUCCACAGAUAAAUGUAGGAAGUCUUUUUCGAGCAUUUUGACUUCCACAGACUGCCUCGAUAAAUACCUCGCUCGACCUGCUGCGACUCAAUAAAGAGGUAAGAAUCAACUUUAUGAGAUAGAGACAGAAUAAAAGUUUGAAAGGUUCAUUCGUGAUUGACGUUCUGCAGGUAAAAACACAUAAAGGGGAGAUAGCGAGAGGCAAAGUCAGCAGGCAGGCAUUGGGAAGUGAAUUUCAGUCUGAGUGCACCACGGGAGCCCUGCGACUGAGUGCAGAACACGUUAGCAAAAGGGUUUAGAGUCAAGUGAGGCUGGGGUUACUACAAGGCCAAAAAAGCUUCUUGUAGAGAUCCUCAUUUCAGGCGUGUGAACUCGCGUCUUUAGAAGCACGAGUAUUUUGUCUCACCUGAACUUGAAGGGAAGCAGUUUCGAGAGAAAAGCAUCUUAUAGGUGUUUCAGGUUAGGAUGGAGGAGCUUUUAUCUUGGAGCACUUCACUGAAACACAAACCUACCAGGACUCUCUAAAACAUACAUGUUCACAUAGCGUGCUCUGCACAAGUCUAAAUACAGCAGGACAAAUACCAGCAUGCCAGGUGCUUCAGAUAAGUGUGGAGUUCUUUAACAAACACAGACGUCUCCAUUUUUAUUCAGUUUAUUUAAAUUGAAUUUUCUUCCUUGUGCAUUACAGGUAAUAUCAGUAAAACUGCAGUCGGCACUCUGAUUUGGUUAAAAAGGAAAAAGCAGCAAAAAGUAGUUUUUUCAGUUUGUAAAGUGUUUUAAAAACGUUUUAUUUAUCCAACAAAAGCAGUGAAAAAGCAGUUAGUUCAUAUUUCAGAAACAAAGACAACAAUGUUUCUGCCAGUGAAGUGUAUGUGCAGAUGUUCUUUAACACAAAGGAUAUAAAAAAGCUCAGUUAUUCA